UCCGGUUUAUCACCGGCAGUCUCCCUAGAGUUCCCGACUUGACUCGUUGGCAACUAAGGACAAGGGUUGCGCUCGUUACGGGACUUAACCCAACAUCUCACGACACGAGCUGACGACAGCCAUGCAGCACCUGUGUUCAGGUUCCCGAAGGCACUCUCGCAUCUCUGCAAAAUUCCUGACAUGUCAAGGGCAGGUAAGGUUCUUCGCGUUGCAUCGAAUUAAACCACAUGCUCCACCGCUUGUGCGGGCCCCCGUCAAUUUCUUUGAGUUUUAACCUUGCGGCCGUACUCCCCAGGCGGAGAACUUAACGCGUUUGCUUCGACACGAAUCAGUUUGUUCCGACCCACAUCCAGUUCUCAUCGUUUACGGCGUGGACUAC
rnacentral:misc_RNA from 1 species